UCAGGAAAAGAGGUUGAUAUGAACCCAGAAGUCAAUGUUCAGGAAGUGGCUGAAGAUGAUAAAGAUGAUGGUGUAACAAUUAUUGAUCAGGUCUCCUUCUGGCUGCGCUGGACCUGCGCACGCGGGGGACUUCCGCAUCGGGCCCUCCAGCCUCCCGCAGCGUCCCGCAGCGCCCUGGCGGGCAGCAGCCUGGGUGGUAGCGGCGCGCUUGGUGCUCGGCGCCAGCACCUGCUACUGCCAUCUACAGGCUGAGGCGGGGCCCGCGGCGAGGCGGCCGGGGGCAUCGGCUGAGCCCCUCUGGAUCUGCAGGCUCUGUUACUGUCAAGGUCCCAUCUUCUCCUCAAACCUAUUUACAGUUAUCAGGAAAAGAGGUUGAUAUGAACCCAGAAGUCAAUGUUCAGGAAGUGGCUGAAGAUGAUAAAGAUGAUGGUGUAACAAUUAUUGGUAAGGAGGCUGCAUUUUCCCUUGUAUGGACU